AGCGAACGCUGGCGGCAGGCUUAACACAUGCAAGUCGAGCGGGCCCUUCGGGGUCAGCGGCAGACGGGUGAGUAACGCGUGGGAACGUGCCCUUCGGUUCGGAAUAACUCAGGGAAACUUGAGCUAAUACCGGAUACGCCCUUAUGGGGAAUGGUUUACUGCCGAAGGAUCGGCCCGCGUCUGAUUAGCUAGUUGGUGAGGUUAUGGCUCACCAAGGCGACGAUCAGUAGCUGGUCUGAGGGGAUGAUCAGCCACACUGGGACUGAGACACGGCCCAGACUCCUACGGGAGGCAGCAGUGGGGAAUAUUGGACAAUGGGGGCAACCCUAAUCCAGCCAUGCCGCGUGAGUGAUGACGGCCUUAGGGUUGUAAAGCUCUUUUCUCCGGGACGAUAAUGACGGUACCGGAGGAAUAAGCCCCGGCUAACUUCGUG
rnacentral:rRNA from 1 species